rnacentral:rRNA from 1 species
UACGUAGGGUGCAAGCGUUAAUCGGAAUUACUGGGCGUAAAGCGUGCGCAGGCGGUGAUGUAAGACAGGUGUGAAAUCCCCGGGCUUAACCUGGGAACUGCAUUUGUGACUGCAUCGCUGGAGUGCGGCAGAGGGGGAUGGAAUUCCGCGUGUAGCAGUGAAAUGCGUAGAUAUGCGGAGGAACACCGAUGGCGAAGGCAAUCCUCUGGGCCUGCACUGACGCUCAUGCACGAAAGCGUGGGGAGCAAACAGG